AAGGUAAGGGUGUCUUGCUGGAAGUUCUUGUAUGUCUGAGGCCUUUUAAAGGUCUUUCACCUUGUGAUGCUUCAUGGGAUGCAUAAUAUCCAAAGAAAAAAGGGGUUAUCAUCAGUGAAGUCCACCCUCCUCUGAAACAAGAAAAUCCAGUGCAGUUCCACCAGUGGAGUGGGCCUGACCAAGAGGGAAAGCAUCAGAGGGAAAAUACUUGCUCAUGCAUCCAUGUGUGUCAUGAGGAGCGGGAGGACUUGACCGGGCAGCCUUGAAGCUCAGACCUUUGUUGGCAGUAAGGAGGAAGGAGCAAAUCAGCUGGCCGUGACCCCCAGAGAAGGGGACACACAGGCCUCAUACUGGGGGCAUCAGCCACUCUCCCCUUCUGCAAGCAUCCAUCAUUUUGACUCCUUUUCUGCUUGCUUCCAAAAAGCUGAAGGGUGAGGGGAAGAAAGAAGGGGAGACAGAGAAAGUAGCAGCUUCCUGUAUUGAAGAAUGAGGAGAAGAACUGAAGGUAAAGCUGCGAUAACUUUCUGCAGCCCAGUUGGUGGCCUGCAGGAUGAUGCUGCCUGACCUCCUUGCUUUUCUGCUGUGGCCUUGCCCUGGGAUGGGAGGUGAAGGGGAGUAGCCAGAUGUGAAAUCCAACAGCUGCUGAAUACUUCUACUUAGCCAUGCAAAUCAUCACUGUGCCCACAGAGAGAGGAUGAGUUUGGCAUUGCUUGAGCCUGCUGAGGUGUCCCAGACACCAGGAUCUGGCUUACAGCUUUGCUAGUACUGCAUUGUCUUGGCCUGGGUUUGUAAGACAGUGUUCGCUCUCAGUUGUGUAUGUGUGUUUUUGACAAGAUGUUGCUGUCACUUUUUCUGUUUUCUAUUAUUUGGAAAGGACAUCCAUUUUAGAGGAAGGUGAUGGCUUUUCUUUUUGAAAAGAAUAGUGUUAAUAUUCAGAAUAUAAAAGCAAACAGCGCAGAUUUCUCCAGAAGGUGAGUUUGUCUGCAGUAAUGUUUCAAAAGCACCAAAUCUCAAACAUACUUAAAUAAAGCAUGAAUCAUCGGA